rnacentral:rRNA from 1 species
CGUAUAUUUAAGUUGUUGCAGUUAAAAAGCUCGUAGUUGGAUUUCGGUUAAGAGCGACCGGUCCGCCGUUUGGUGUGCACUGGUUGGUUUUAACUUCCUGUAGAGGACGUGCUCUGGGCUUAACGGUCUGGACUCGGAGUCUACGUGGUUACUUUGAAAAAAUUAGAGUGUUCAAAGCGGGCUUACGCUUGAAUAUUUCAGCAUGGAAUAACACUAUAGGACUCCUGUCCUAUUUCGUUGGUCUCGGGACGGGAGUAAUGAUUAAGAGGAACAGUUGGGGGCAUUCGUAUUUCAUUGUCAGAGGUGAAAUUCUUGGAUUUAUGAAAGACGAACUUCUGCGAAAGCAUUUGCCAAGGAUGUUUUCAUUAAUCAAGAACGAAAGUUGGGGGCUCGAAGAUGAUUAGAUACCAUCCUAGUCUCAACCAUAAACGAUGCCGACUAGGGAUUGGCGGAUGUUAAUUGAUGACUCCGCCAGCACCUUAUGAGAAAUCAAAGUUUUUGGGUUCCGGGGGGAGUAUGGUCGCAAGGCUGAAACUUAAAGAAAUUGA